GACGCCACCUCCUGGACAGUGGGUAGUUCGUUGUCACGCGGGACCAAAUUUUGAAUUUGAAAACAGUGGAUAAAUUUAUUGUUUACUACGAUGAUGAUGAUUAUGAUUGUUAUUUAAUGAAAUAAUUAAACUAUGAUUAAGGAUAGAUGUAAUUGAUAAAAUAACUUUUAUCUGAAGACUGAAUUUUAUUAUAAAGUAUGAAUAAAACUUGAUCAGUAAUAACAGUUGUAUUCGUAAAGAGUUCUCGGAGAGAAGUCAAGUUACAUCAGACGGCAGAGAGAUCUCGGACCUCCACUCUCCAACUUCUCCCCACUACUCUCAUGUUCACACUCAUGCUUAUAUGUAUAAAUACUUAUAUAUCUAUGUUCUUUACUAAAUAUUAUACUUAUACAUUUAUACUUUCUACUAAUACGAAUUGGAGAUAUAAGCUUAUACAUUUACGUUCUUUACUUUAUCCAUUCUAUAUCUUCUUAUUACUUAUAUUAUUUAUAUUCUAUUUUCCCGUACUUGGAUACAAUCAUUCGGUUAAAUAUUCUAGACUAUCAGAGGUGUGUUCUAUAAUUAUUCUAUAUUUAGUUAUUCGUUACAAUUGACAUUAUCAUUUAUCGUGAAACAUCAUUAUAAUUAUUCUAAUGCUAUAUUUCAAUAUUUCUAUUAAUUCAUUUAUUAUAUGAAUCACUCUUUAUUUAAUAUAAAAAUAUAUAUAUUAACAAUAAUAGUUAAGUUCCUGUGAUAUGGUUUUCAUUUAUAAAUAAGAUUUAUUUAUUAUAUAUUUCCUUUUCUUGUUUGCUUAUAGAGUAUGUAUUUGUUUAUAACCAUAUUUACUGUUAACUUUAGAACAAGAGCCUAUUCAUGAUUUUUAUGCGUGUGUUUUGUUUAGGUUUUAAGUAUCAGGUGACAGAAAACGUUCCAAGACCACUCAAACUGUAUUUAUGUUUCUCUAAAUAUAAAAUAAAGUUUAUCCAUCUAUUUAUUUAACUUUCUUAUAAUAAAAAUAUAUAAUUUAAUGAGUAUGUGCCACGACGAUUUGUGAUUUAAUUUAUUUACUUCAUAUUGUUAAGACGCAAUAAGUGUUGUAGGAUAUUAAUAUAUUAUUUCAAAUGGAAUUUAAAUGCGCGCUUCUUAUAUAUCUCAAGUUUACUAAUUAAUUAACAGGUGGAGGCACCUGAGGCUGUUGAGGACAUAACACCUCCCCCGUUAAUGAAAAUUCGACAUAUCGUUCGUCGAAUUUUUCUCUCAUAUAUACACAUGUAUAUAACGAUAUAUAAUAAUAGCUAAAGCUAAUUCUGAAUGAAAUAUAAAUUCUGCAAGACAAUUACCUAUAUAAAUAAUACCAUUACUGGUUGUUAAAUCGUGGUCGCACAUUUACAUUACAAGUUACAAAAAUAAUCAUUUUUAUGAUUUAAAACUAACAGGUGAGCAGCACUAACCGGAUGUUCGAAUUUAUUUUUCUAAUUACGUUUGGAAUAAUUACGUCACUUAAAUGAUGAAAACCUUCAAAAAAAAAGUUUAUCUUAAACAUUUUUCGGAAGCUAUAAAAUUUUUGUAAUAAGAAUUGAUCAAUAAAUUCAAAGAAAAGUAAAAUUUAAAAACUCGUUUAGUACGGCCCAGCCUUAUCAUUGAGGUCACGGUGUUUACAUUUUAGCAAGAGUUUAAUCUAGACUAUGAAGUAUUAUACGGAUCAACAAGGUAAUUUAAUUUUAUAGAGUCUUUUGACGAAUUUAAAGAAAAUUUGAUUAAAGUUAUACUCGGAAAUUCUUAUCACUUAUGUUAUAUUAUUCCAGAUAUAUUAAUUUCAACUUGUUUGUAUGUACGACUUGGUAUGUGGUGGGGUGAAUUAGGUAGCUACAUUUCAUUAUUCCAGGUUUCAGUAAUUUUAUAAGGGUCUAUAUAGUUACGAUCAAGUUCGUUGGUUUUCGCGUCAUUUGCCAAAAAUACCCAAUUUCCUUAAGAAAACUUAUUAGGGUUUACCCGACAGUCACAAUAUUCCUUUGAUUUGAAUGUAGCUCUGUCUGGAUUUUCAGCAGCUUUUUAAUUGUGUUACUUGACUUAUAAUCGGCAGACUAGAAAUUACACAACAAGUAAGAUUGAUUUUCUGAUUCUUUUCGUCAGCCGUUCAGGGUUUUUAGGGUUCUUGUCAGGUUCAUCGUCUGAGGAAUAAACGUCAUUUAACAUCGGUUCAGGAAAAGUAUCAUUAUCAUUAAAAGAAUUGGCAGGGAGGUUGGUUUGAACCGGAUAUAAGAAAACUAGAUAUUUAUGACUACAAACAUUUGUUGCUGAUUCCGGAAUAUUUAAAUAUAAACUAGUUUCACUUCUUUUAGAUAACUUCAAUGUUAGUACUUAAGCAUGCAUUUCUAUAAUGUCUCUUUCAUUUUCACACAUUUCAGGCGAGGACGUCCUCUCUGGCAUCUCAUGCAUGGGGGACUCAAACCCCCACACGACAUCCGAGCUCGGUACAACAACUGCUGGGUGGUCCAACCACCCAAGGGACAGGGCUAAUAAACCCCUCUGAAGAGGGCUGCCACUCAUCCAACAACUCGUCUCCCUGGGAAGAGAGUACUGUCCUCGUUCGAGUCUCGCUUUCCGCCUCAACGUCAGGUCGGCGAGUCGUCGGGAAGGCAUCUCUAUCCUUCAGAUAUGUGCACAACGUGCCAAGGGUGGCCAUAAACUUGCUGUUUACGCCACUAUAUUUGGAGGGGGUUGUCCAACAACCCCAGGGAGUCGAUGCCAUAAUUUUUUUUUCACACUCUCUUUUUUUUUUAUCUUAUUCUGUUUUUAUCCAUGCUAAUACUCAACCUACUAUUUCCUAUGAGUUUAUCCUCAAGAAGCGGUUUCCCAAGCUUUGUGUUCUAAAUCAAUAAUAUAUUAAGUAAUUUUAUGUCAAUGGGGUUUCGAGAGAGCGCAUCAACAUUAGCGUUCAAUCGACCUUCCCUAUAAUUGACUUCAUAUUCAUAUUUCCGUACUUCAGCAACCGAUGUAGGAGUUAAGAUAUAGGAAUUUUUAUUCUAUGAGCUCACACCAAUGAUUUAUGAUCUGUGACUUUCAGGAGUUCAGGGGCAGAGUAGUAGGAAGGUAUUUUCUAAUGUCUUCUGGCUGAGAAUCGCACCGAGGGCAUAAAAAGAAGUGUUUGUUGUCGUGACGAAAAGUUUUGAAAGUGGGGGAACUGGAGAAUAAAUUAAUAUCAACUUAUAAUUAAUAUCAGAAUCUAUCGUGAAUUAAAAUUUCUCCAAAUUAAGUAGUUCAUCACUAUUAAUAGUUAUACACGGUGAGGUAAUAUGCUUGUUGUUGUGAGUUUUUAUGGAAGCGUCAUUUUGAAUAAGUUUUGUUUCAUUUGGUCUUCUGUGUGGGCUGUAUUGUCAGUUUGUUGGUCGUUGUAUGCAUUGAAAUUUUGGUUUGAUGUUGUGUUAUUUUCUCUAACCCAAGUAAACCUAUUUUUGCAGAUUUGUGCGAAAUGACCAGGCUUAGAACAUAUUGAACAAAUUACGUUCAUGGAGUUAUUACAGUCUUUUUGUAAUGUCCUCGUCCUCCACAAGAAAAACAAAUAAUCGAAUUACGGUCAAGUCGUCUUAUAUUGUCAUUGUUAUGUGUCUGAGUUACCCGUACAGUAGCCUGGUUAUUAGUUGAUGAUUCCUGUGGCAGUCUGUUAUUGUUAUGAUUUCUUCUAUCUCCAUAAUGAUUGUUCGCAAAUUUGAUAUGAUUUUGGGAACUACUAAUGGAAUAUUGGCUGGAGUAAGGAUUAUUACUACAGUGGGAAUGUAUUUUAAAAAGUGAAUUUUUUUGUUCCAAUUCUUUUUCUAAUUCUACGGCAAGAUCUACUGCUCGCGACAGAGUAAGAGGUUUUUGACUAGCAGCCCACAAUCCUAACUCUCCCCUAAGACCCCGUACGAAGCUAUCUCGAGCUCCUUCUUGGGUACUAGCUAAUAACCCGGUUCGUAUUUCACCCGAAUGCUUAUCCAUAAUUACUUCUGACGUUCCUUGAACGAUUUCGUUGAUUCUAGUAACGUAAUCUACGAUGGUUUCACCAUCCUUUUAAUAAAUAUUCGAAAGUAACGACUGCCAUUGAGAUAGAGUUCUACUCGGCACUAAAGCUCUUUUAAGAUUUCCCAAAAUCCCUUCAAAUGCUAAUCCCGAUUGAUUUGAAAUAUAUUUGCUGGCUUUACCCAAUAUACGAGAUUUUAUCAACUGAGUUAAAUACAAUUUACCAGAUGGAUGUAUUAGAUUUAAGGUUUGAUUACAAAGUUCAAUAAAAUUAUUAACUGGCAUAUUUUCUCCAUUGAAUACGGGUAUAAGGUUUAUAGCGUCUUUGAUACUCAAAAAUUGGGAAUUACUUGUAUGAACUAGAUUAUUGGUAGCAUAAUUGUGCUCAUUAUUUCCGUAGCCCGCGAGUACCGGUUCAAUUGGUACGCGAUUCGAAUUAUGAACUGGAGUAGCUGGAAUGCUAGGGGUUAUAGAAGGAGAGAUGGUGGAAAAAUUGUCAUUAUUAGUGUUCUGAAUGUCAAUAGAACUAAUCACCACUUCAGUGCUCGCGUCCGAAAUGUGUUCGUCUGUAGUCACUAAAUUAGACAUUUUCGCCUCAAAUCAUGUUAAUGCUUCUAUAGUCUUGAUUCUAUUUGAUUACUAUAUUUAAUAUAUUAAGGAAAUACUAUAUCAAAUUACAGUUGAACUUUUAAUUAUAAUUAUUAAGAUUAUGGAAUUGUAAAUAAUACAAAAUAUUAUAAUGUGUACUUAUUUCGACUGAAACUUAUGUCUGAUAGCAAUUUAAAAGUGUUAAAUAUCAAAUAAUCGUCAAAUUUCAUA